GAAAACUUGGAGAAAGAAAACAAGGCCAUUCGGCCAUGGGUCCAAAAUAUAAGGUCAUAGAAAUUGAUCAAGAAAAAUUAUUUUCUUCUAGUAUUUCCACCAAAUGGAAGGUCCUCAUUAACAUGAAAGAGUUGUUGAAGCAAGCCAAGCAUUUAUUGGAGUGAUUUACAAACCCUAGCUAAGCUAAGAGGUUAGAUGAAGAAGACUAGCGAUAGCAAGCUUGGACAAUUAAGCGUAGCUAAUAGGACGUGAAGCAGGUACACCCAGAUGAGUAGAAGCUAUUAUAGAAGAUGUUCCAGCGGAGUUGGCAAGCUCCAUUUGCCCUGGAGUGUUGCCGGGUUAGAGUUCUAUGCUAUGAUGUCUUGUUCGAAGUCAGAGACUUUGCAGACAGAGUCGUGGGUAUAGAGUGUCGGUAUUGUAAACGGCUCCACCAGCCAAUGUGUCAUCUUAUGUUAUGUUAUAAAGUCCAUGUGAUUACAGAUUCCAUUUGAUUUGAGUACGAGGGAAAAGAAAGAUUCUGAAAGCUUACUAUGUAUUUCAUUCUUAUUCGAUUUAAGAGUCCAAAAGGAGUAUGUAUGUAAUAAGAGUCAGAGGGUUCGCUCGGCUCCGAAUAUGGGGUCGGGUGCCCAUCACACCCUGGAGGGAUCGGGGUGUGACAUUAACGAUUAAGACUAAUACUUGGUACUAAUGUAAGUGGAGAAUCCUCUUA